rnacentral:ribozyme from 1 species
UGCCCAGCAACUCCUAUCCCUACCUCCACGCGGUACCGGCCGGCAACUAUGAGCAACCUUAGGAAAGAUCGGGUAACCAACCCCGGUGGGAACUUUGGUCGUAGGCUGACAGGGAAGG